CAACAAAAAAUUGAGCCAGUUCGCUCGAUUCAGAUUCAGAAAAGGGGAUAUAAAACCUCUUCUCAUCUAAGGUGAGUCAAUUCGUUUUUUAAUGUAUGAUGCUAAACAUUGAAUUGAUUGAGUGUUCGUACGUUUGUUAUUUCGUUCUUCGACGAGAUUCAGAUUUAAUGUUUCUUCCGGAGUUGGGUGUUCGGAAAUGGUUGUGUACCUUACAUACUAACGUAUCAUCUUAAUCUCUUUAACAAAUUUGCUAUUUUUUGGUUAAUUAAAUCUCUGCAUUUUCGUUUUUUGAGAUUCUCGGUAUCUUUGUGAUUCAAUGUGGCUACCAAAUUUAGGAGUUUUUUUUUCCAAUAAACUCUAUCCACAUAUAUGGAGUCCAUGAAUUGCUGUCCAAAAAGUUGAAGAUCUAUGGCAGAGUUCGUUUCGGAGAGUCAAUAUAAAAUACUCAAGCAUAUUUCCUGAAAAUCAAAGACAACAUGACUGAAGUUGGCGCAAUGACGAAUACAUUAUUUUUGAAGGGCAGCCUAAGACGUUAGGACAUGAGUUUUAUUACUUAAACGAUGCGAUACGGUGGAUACGAUGAGGUGGAUACGAUACCGUGGAUAUGAUGGGGUGGAUGCGAUACGGUAUCCACAAUACAUCAAAUACGAUGUGGUGGCUACAAUGUUGGGGGUGUGAUGAUCCAAAUGGUCAUGGCUUAAAGCUGAAGGAAAUGAAAGAGGUAAGAGAGUAAAGUCCAAAAGAGGGAACAUAAAAAUGCAGGUUACUAUAUUCAACAUGGGAUCGACCGUGGUGCUUAUUUUCCAAGCAUCGACUGCAAACUCACCCGAGGAUUCAAGCAAUUCUUCAGAUUACAGAUUUUGUGUUAAACUCACCCGAGGAUUCAAGCAGAUUUUUUGUUCUUUUAGGUUUUGCAUAUUAUGUUAUGCACAAUUACAAUAUGAACAAAUUCUAAAAAUAUUCGAAAAAGUAAUUAUGUCGUCUCUACUUGAAGCUAAUCUAAUCGAAUAUCCAUUGAUUCA